UGGGGAAUUUUGGACAAUGGGCGAAAGCCUGAUCCAGCAAUGCCGCGUGUGUGAAGAAGGCCUUCGGGUUGUAAAGCACUUUUGUCCGGAAAGAAAUGGCUCUGGUUAAUACCUGGGGUCGAUGACGGUACCGGAAGAAUAAGGACCGGCUAACUACGUGCCAGCAGCCGCGGUAAUACGUAGGGUCCAAGCGUUAAUCGGAAUUACUGGGCGUAAAGCGUGCGCAGGCGGUUGUGCAAGACCGAUGUGAAAUUACCGAGCUUAACUUGGGAAUUGCAUUGGUGACUGCACGGCUAGAGUGUGUCAGAGGGGGGUAGAAUUCCACGUGUAGCAGUGAAAUGCGUAGAGAUGUGGAGGGAUACCGAUGGCGAAGGCAGCCCCCUGGGAUAACACUGACGCUCAUGCACGAAAGCGUGGGGAGCAAACAGG
rnacentral:rRNA from 1 species